ensembl:lncRNA
AGUGACAGACAUGGAACUAGAAUUCUUUCUUAACUCUCUCUUCUUUGCACUUUGCUCUCCAAUUCCUUCCUCCUCUUAUUCAUUUAACAAAUAGUAUGGAGCCCCUGGAGUAGGAAAUGGCAACCCACUCCAGAAUUUCUGCCUGAAAAAUUCCAUGGAUGCAGGAAACCAGUGGGCUACAGUCCAUGGGGUCACAAAGAGUGGCAUGACUAAGAAAACACACACACACUCACAUGGAGCCCCUACCACAUGCCAAUCACUGCUCCAUGUGCUGGGCCUGCAGUAAGUGAGUGAGAAAGACGUGCUUCCUGCCUGCCGGACUUUCUAAUGGAGGGGAGGAGGCAGAGAAUAAAAGCAUCAGCAAAUCAAUCAGUUGGAUGAUUGGAGCGAGCUGUGUGUCCUAAAGAAAGCAGAAGGGUCAGAGUAGCUUGGCCCCGUUCCGGGGGUUGGCCAGGGAAGGCCACCCUGAACAGAUGACCCGGGAGGGGACCCAGAGUGAGAAGAAGCCAGCCACAAGGUCAGAGAGGAACGUUCCAGGCAGAAGGAAGAGCAACAGCCAGGCUGUACUUCCUCCCAGACUCAACUCCUUGCUCCACUCUGAACAAGAGAACCACACACUGGAAGGUCAGAUCUGAAGCGCAUUCCUUUUGACGCCAUGCCACCGUGAGCUUCCAAAACAAGAUCGGCUCUCAGGCAAGCCUCUGAAUGGGUCACAAAAUUCAAAGCAGAACCGAAUGAAGCCAAGUUGCCAGGCAUGAUAUAGAAAGCUCUGUUGUGCAUCUAUAGAGAGACUUAACACACCCUGUUCUAGUGUAGUAAUUUAACCAGUGUGGCUGAAAAACUUAGCUCUCAUCUUUUGAAUAAACCUUUAUAGAAACACUGCAAGUUAGAAUCGUGUUUGUGUCAGAUCAUAACUUAUCAUUUCUGGAAUGAAAUUCUCAAAUAUAUGUCCUUUGGAGUUCUUCCAAGAAGCUUCCUACAGAGUUCCAGAUGAAGAGAAUAACCUAAAAGAUAAUAUCAAGAUUGUCCUCCAGAAGACCAGAUUCCCCUCCCAGGGACACUGACACAGAUUUCAUGAAAGUUUUCAUAGAAUUUUCUUCAGAUCUGCCAUGUUUGGCAUUUGUUUCCAUGCCCUUAAUAUCUACUGAAUUCCUAAUAUUAUUGUUAUCUGCAUUUUUAUUAUUCAGUUUUCAUUUGUCACCAUAUCAAGUGAAAGUAGCUAGAUGGAUGGUCACCAAAUUCAGUGGGAAUGUUGGUGAGCAUCUUGUAUAGAAUAUAUAGGCUGUGUAAGAAACAAAAUUUAUUUUGCAGGGCUCAGGUGGGGGGCAUCACAAAGAGUAGGGAGGUCACUUAGACCCUGGAGGGAUGGCUGUUCAAGAGAAACAAGCCAGGACUUCCCUGGUGGUCCAGUGAUUAAGAAUCUGCCUGCCAGUGCAGGGGACACAGGUUCAAUCCCUGGUCCAGGAAGACCUCACAUGCUGCAAGACAACUAAGCCUGUGUGCCGCAACUGCUGAGCCCUCACUUCGGAGCCCACGCAUUGUAACUACUGAAGCCAGCAUGCUGUAGAGCCCACGCUCCACAAGACAAGCCACUGCAGUGAGAAGUCCACACACUGCCACUAGAGAACGCCUAUGCACAGCAAGGAAGGCCCAGUGCAGCCAAAAAAAGAGAGACAAGCCAUAGUCCUGAGAAAGCUAUAGGAAGAGAAACACACAGAGGGAUUUGAAUCUGACUCCCAUAUUGCAAGUCACAAGGGCAGACACUCUGAAUCACAGCAUUGAUUUGUGAUGGAGCUGGUUCCCACACGGGCCACUCCAUGGAGCAUGAUCCAGGGAUGUGUUUCUUAAUAACUCUAAUGACAUUGGCAACAACACCAGGGCCACACCUCCAGCAGGCCUGUCUUGGAGUGUUAUUCCCGAGCUAUAGUGAUUGGGGAGCAUUUCUGCUUAGUGUUGCACAGCGGUUCUCAAGCUUUCUUUCGUCUCUGUACCUUUACCCUCUCAGUUUAUUAGAAAUUCGAACUGAGAAGAAUAUUCUAAAACUUUAUGGGGUAACUUAGCUGGUAAAGAAUCCACCUGUAAUGCAGGAGACCUGGGUUCAAUCCCUGGGUUGGGAAGAUCCCCUGGAGAAGGGAAAGGC